GUGGAGGUGGGAACUAAGAGGGGGCCUGAGGGGCCCGCCUCGUCCCGCCACCUGGACGCAGGAAGAAAAUCCUCAGGAGGCGACCUGCAGACUGAGCUGGCUGAGAGGGCGAGCCCGUUCACGCCCACCCUGGGCGCCUGCCCCCCGUGUUCCCGGAUGCACUGGCCCCCAGCGCCUGCCCUUUCGCCAUUUCUCCAGCGGCAUGAAUCCUGGAGCGGUCAUCCACGGGGAGGCAGCCGCCGCCGUAAUUCUUGUCAGACCCUCACUGCCAGUUUCAGGGAAGUGCAUGCAGCUGACUCGUCGGCGGGACGCGAAGGCGUGCGGAGCGCGAGGAGGCGAGCCCUGCGGGCCUUUUCGGGGCACCUCCUAGUCGGCGGAAACGUUGCUGCUGGCGCCUUUCCGGGCAAUUGCUAGGGUUAUCCCUCGGCGAAUGAGGCAGGGUAGAUGCACGAUGCUUGGUUUAAAAAAAAGACAAAAAUGAGCAAGCGAGACGACCCUUCCCUUUUAUGAUACCUAAGCUGCAAGCAAAUAAAUCGGCUGGCCCCUCUGCAAUCUUCUGCACUCGAGUGCCAAGAGAGCCUGUUCCUAUCAAUCACUGAAGCCAUAAGGAAAAAUUUUUUUCAAAUUUAAACAU